rnacentral:rRNA from 1 species
AGUGAACGCUGGCGGUAUGCCUAACACAUGCAAGUCGAACGGCAGCACAGUAAGAGCUUGCUCUUACGGGUGGCGAGUGGCGGACGGGUGAGGUAUACAUCGGAAUCUACUUUUUCGUGGGGGAUAACGUAGGGGAACUUACGCUAAUACCGCAUACGACCUACGGGUGAAAGCAGGGGAUCUUCGGACCUUGCGCGAUUGAAUGAGCCGGUUUCGGAUUAGCUAGUUGGCGGGGGAAAGGCCCACCACGGCGACGAUCCGUAGCUGGGUUGGGAAGAAGGCACGGCCAACCGGGACUGGGACAAGGGCCAAACUCCUAAGGGAGGGCGCAGGGGGGAAUUUUGGAAAAAGGGGGGAAGCCUUAACCAGCAAUGCCGCGGGGGGGAAAGAGGCCUUCGGGGUGUAAAGCACUUUUUUUUGGAAAAAAAAACUUGGAGGUAAAACAGUCGGGGGAUGACGGUACCGGAAGAAAAAGCACCGGCUAACUACGUG